GGUAUAUAUUGAGGAGAUUCCUUUGGAGGGGGCGCUCUUGCUCCUGCUUGCUUGCUUUUUUGUGGGGGAACUUUUUGGGUGGCAUGGGGAUGCACUGUUUGAGUUUUUUCUUUGAUACUUUCGACUUAGAAGUUUGUCCUCCUUGAGCCCAAUGGAAGCAGUGGCUGAUCAGCACCAAUAAAGAGUUUUGCUCAUUCUCAUCCAGGUAAAGGAUAUCUGUCUGUCCAGUGUAUGUGAACGAGACAAUAGGAACUUGGACAAUCUCUGCUCCUGUCCUCUCGAGGUAAGUCUGUGACAGCAGACCCACACACAUGGUGUCGGCUUUCUUUGAGAAAACAAUGGCAUCCUUUCCCAAGCGCAUGGAGCCGGACUUAAAACCGUUACCGUAAAGACCAACUGGAACAUGUUUUUUUAACUGCUGCUUAUCACUGAAGCCAAAACUGAGAGAGAGAGAGAGAGAGAGAGAGAGAGAGAGAGAGAGAGAGAGAGAGAGAGAGAGAGAGAGAGCUCUGUCAGUAAAAUGAGGAAUUGAUUACUUUUUACAUAGUUAGUUUAGACUCAAAAUUUAAUAAAUUAUAAAUGUGAAAUAUAUAUUUGCCAUCUGACAGACAAUCACAAACUUCCUGACACACCUGAGCAUUUUGUGCAUCUUCUCAUAGUCCAUGCCAUUUCCAUUAUCCAAAAAGAUGAGGCAGUCCUGGUGUUUAAACACACUUUUUGUAAUCCAGAGCUGUUUUGCAUUGACAUCUGGGUCAUAAGCAUUGUCUGCCAAUAGAAAAAAGGAGGAAAUUCAAAUAUUGUCUAAUGUUACUUACAUUUUUAGACAGCUUUAAAACUUAAGGUUCUUCUUUAUUCUGUUCAGGACAAAAUUUUGAUGUGUGACUAAGAUUACACCCUGGAACAAAUGUCAGUCUAUUGCAUGGCAUCUAAUACACUUGCACUCAAGAUAAUGGUGCUGUGAGGUGGUAGACUAUUUUAGGUAGUAAGCUAAAUUUGUGUCUUUUAAGACAGACCUACAGUAGACAAAUGUAGUUAAUGCUUUAAUUAAAAACAAGCUUACAUUUUCAGAAUACAAAGCUUGAUAGAGUGAAGGAUUAUCUCACCAUUUUCCCAUUUUCAGCAGGUCAGGGUUAAAUAAAUAUUUUAUGUGCUAUACGCAGGUUUGCUUGGAGUUUUUUUAAUAGCAGACUAAUCCUAAACGUAAUCUCAAAAAGGUAAACAUGCUCAGGUUAGGCAAUCAAUAAGUAGCUGUUCAAAGGGUCAGCAAAAAAAAAAAAAUACAUGGGUCAGGCAAGGAUGAAACAAAAUGGUUUGGUAAAGGACAGGAAACUGACCAUAUACUUUGUUAAGUAGCUAAAAUGAAAAGUCAUACAAUAAAGGUACACCCUGAAUCUAUAACAGUUGAAAAUAGGUGUAUUGCAAUCAGAAGUCUUUCUAAUGUUGAAAUCACAGGUGAUUGUGGGAAAUGAUCAGUGCUCCCUUUUUUGUAGACUGCAAUGUGUUAUGGGAAAUGGAGUCCAUACUUUGGCUAGACCACAAAGAGGAACCUCCAUACCUACUAUUCUCUUAUAUGUUAUAAUAAUAAACUGCUUAUAAGUUUAUACCCCUGCCACUCAAUGAGGUAUUGAAUCCAGGCCAAGCCAAGUACAUGGGGCUGCCCACAGGAAGGAUGUAAGAGGGAGAGCUAUGAUAAUAAAGUCUUAAAUGAAGCACCGAAGAAGUUGGCGAAUUCAAGAAGCAUUGCAAUUCACUCAGUAUUCAAGAAGAACACCUAUUAUUGCAUUUGUAACGUUGUGGCGGCCUGCUCAGGAAAUUCAGGGCCACCAGCCCACACUCUUAUAAGCACUCGGGCCAGCAGCCAAGACUGCAAGCGUGGUUUCCCAACCUGCUUCUGUGCACUUCCAUGUAUUUUACUUAAAUAUUCCCACAAAGUGACAGUAAUGUUACAGGCAUUCUAUUGAGGAGCAUAAUAUCCUCUUAUCGAAUUCCUCUUCUGACAUUUCCACAAUUACUCUGCUUCACUGUUAUAACUUACUACACUCCUCACCCCUCGUCCAGCCAAUAGCUUUCUCUACAUCUGUCCAAUUUCUAUACAUCUACCCACUUUCUCUCCAUCCCCACAAGUGUAUGUUAGCUUUGAGUUUAUUUUUAAAUCAAACAAAUGUAAAACAUCUCAAAAAGUAAAACAGGUACUGGUCAGAUGAUCAACUUUGCAAGAGCAGGCAAGAUGACAUUUUUUGGCAGACACUUUUAACCAGUGUUUAAAUACCUCAGGAAAAGGUACGACUUUAGACAUCAUUUGAAAAGAACCAGUGACUCCGCUGUAUAAACAUUUAGGGGGAGUUCAUUUCACCAUCUAUGAAACAAAACAGAGUCUGAAGCAUAACUUGUACCCUGAGAGAUGGUGGAAACAGUCAAGCAGUACUAAAAAUUAGAGGAAGCAUGUUGAAAUGUGGGGUGUGAUGAGUGCUUUGAGGUAAGUGGGUGCAGGUCCAUUUGUUGCUUUUAGGCAAUUAUCAUUGUUUAAUUUCAGAUGUAGUCAGCUACAUGAAGCCACUGGAGGGAGUGUAGCAAUGGGUUAGUGUGGGGAAAAACUCAUGCAGCUACAUUUAGGAUUAGUUGCAGAUUAAAUGGCUCUCAGAGGCAUACAGUACUUACAGGCAGAAAGUUAGUCUGAACAAGUACAGCAUCUUAGUGGCCAGUGAAGAUAGAAAUGGACAAAUCUUUCUGAUACUUUUGCGGAUCAAUAUGAGAAGAAAUGUUGAUUGUUGAAACGUUGAUUGUCCAUGUUAAUCCCAAUGUUGCACGCAGUGAUUAAAGGUGAGAUCAGUGAGUUAUUAAGGAAUAUUGAAAUAUCUUUUCAUGAUGAUGAAUUGAUUGGGAUGAACAGCAGUUAUGUUUUGCUGAGUUUAAGUUUAAACUUAUGAGCAGCAAUCAAUUAUGAGGUGUCUGCAGACAUGCUGAGAUCACGUCCAUGAUCCAGUGGACAGGUAAUAUAAUUGCAUGAUAAGAUUACUUGCAGGAUCUAUUCUGUUGCUAGCUUAGUAAAAUGUGCAAGUGAAAAAGAAGGGGAAUACUACAGUAUAGGAGUAGGGGUAGAAGUGAAGGUCUUGCAGAAUUAGCAGAAAAGAAAGGUUGGUUCAUGAGAAGCUGGGGGUUAAGUAGAAAAGAAAAUAUGUUGUUUUGUAGAAGGCAGUCUUAGAAGUCACAUCAGAAUAGAAUUUGCUCAGGAGAGUACAGCAAGAGGAAAGAAAACAUUUUCACAUUGGAAAAUAACAAGACACAAAGGAAACUGAGUAAACCUUGCAACUUUAAAUGUGUUUUAUAAAUGUGAGCUGUGAUUGACAGUUUCAAAACAAGAAUAGUGUAUACAGAAGGGAAUUAUAGUGUUAAAAUCUGAAUUUUAGUCAAGUGUCUCCCGGUGUCCAGAUGGGUAAGGGCUGUGAGUGGGAGGUGUGGGAUUCCUCUCUAAAAGGGAUAACCAAAGGGUUAAUCUCUAAAACGCAAGCAGCCAGAAAAUUCCUUAUAAUCUAGAAUGUGAAAGAUUCCAAUUGUUUAUGCAAAAUGGUCCAGAAAACAAUAAAGGUUUAUAAAAGUAAUUUUGACUCACCAAUCAAUUCUGCUACUGCACUGAAGGGCCAGGUGUGGCUAGUAGAGUUUGUGUGCAGAUACUGUGGACUUACCUUUAGAAGGAAAAGAAUAUGAUAAACAAGUACCUUAACCUCAUUACAGUAACUUUUGAAGAUUUAUUUCAUUUAUACAUACAUAUAUAAUAUCUUUUGAAAAUUCUCAGUGUUUUGAGAAGAACGUACAAACUAAAUGAAAAAAGUGAUAAAGAAAUGAUAAUAAAAGCAUGUCGCUUCUCGUUUUUUCUUAUGAAUCUCACCCACCCCCUGUUUCGUAAGAAAGGUGAUCAUAGGUUAAAGGAAGACAGGUUGGAAGAGUUCUUUAAGAUUCCAAAAACUUGUCUGUUCAAGUUUUAGGAUUUUGAAUUAUAGCCUGAUCCUGAAUUGUAGCCAAGUGUUGACCGUGAAUGUAUUCUUUUUCUUUCCGAAAAUUUGCAUGUUGUUUUUGUACAUAUUGGGCAUGAUGUUGCUCAGCACACAGUAAAAUACAUAUAAAUUUUAUUGAAACAGUUACCCAAAAACACCCUCUUUCUGCAAACUUUUGUAACUGACAGGACAACACUUUACAGUUUUAGGUAUCAGUAGCACCAGUUAAGUGUAGGAUUAAAGAAAUGGAUUUGUUGGUUGGCUUUAAAAGCUUAAAAAGAACAGGCCCAUUCCUGCCUAAAAACAAUCACACUGUUUGAGGAUAGUAACGAAGAAAUAAAAGUGAUAGUUACUGAGGCAUAUGGUCAUUAGUUUCAGAGAAACUACACUGUAACUAGAUAUACAUACUAGGUAUGCGGCAGUUAUUCAAGUCAAAGUAUUUAGUUUAAUUUCACUUAUUUAUCAACAAUGUAAUAUUUAUUUAUCUUUAUGAGACAGUGCUAAAGUUCUAGCCAUAAAAAGUAACCUGCGAAUAUACAAUUCUAUUCAAAUUAAUUUACACUAUACAAAAAUGAUAGCUGGUUGUAGUUUCACUUAGUUAUAACCCAUAAAUACUUACCGAGCUUACAGGUAUACCUCUCUUUGAAUAUGUUGUCAUCUUUGUUUAAAAGUGCAGUUCCAAAGUGAGCUUCUUAGAAAGGUGUAGGGGACUCUUCUAUUUUGAAAUACAGGAACUACGCAUCCACAUUUGUACUAACUUUGUGGAAACUCCACCCCUUCUGGCUCAUCAGGGAGAAUGGAUACUAAUUCAACAUUUAGUGAUUUGGUUAUUUUUGUGCUAUUCAGGAAUUUUUAGGCAUGUACACUGUACAUGCAAUAGAGAGCAGGUAUAUACCAGAUAAUCUUUAUACAUUUAUUAACAUUUAAACUUCAUCCUUUGUUUCAUUCAUUUUGUUAUUAUUGCAGAAACUAAAUUAUUCUUUCAUGAAUUAUUAGCUGUAGGAUCAACUAAAUCCAGAUUUGAUUUCAGCUUAAAAAAAAAAUAAUAAUUCUCUCCUUGUUGUGCCAGAUUUCCCGUUACCAACUAUUGUGAUGGCAGACUGAUUUUUCAAAAAUAGCUACUGAAGGGCUGGACCUCAAAAUUACUCCAAUUCUGUCAGGACCACUUUUUCACAAGGGAAUUAAAUGAUAUGCAUACAGUUAGUGUUGGUGGUAUGGGUCUGUUCUGUGCAAGAAUCCACGCGCCCAUCCAUGCGCAUGCAUGGACAGAGCGGGGAGAGUAGCGACUAGAAAAUAGAAUAGACCGAAUCACUAGCAUGCAUAGUAUUGAUAAGCUCAAUUAAAACUUUUUUGGAAAGUAAUAAAUGAAUGGAUAGAUAGAUAAUCAAAUAAUUAGAGAGAGAGGGAGAGAGAGAGAGAGAGAGAGAGAGAGAGAGAGAGAUAAAUAUGUGGAGAUUAAAGACGUAACUGGUACACCGAACACGGGUUCCGGCGUGGUGGAGUCGGGGUUGGAGGAGGGAGUUUAGAUCGCGGCAGCAGCGAAGCGCUGAACGGCUCUAUGAAUGGGAAUUUAAAUGGUCGGAUAAUAAGGAUGUCGUAACUGGAUUGGUGCGCGUCGUGGACACGAUGCUUGAUGGGUGUCACUGAUGAGUGUAUAUAUCUCACAGAUGAGUGUAUAUUCCAGCAGAUUUAGCCUUACUUAGUGCAAGACUUUGAAUUGUAAAUUCCUUGUCUAAAAGAGAGUAAUGAAAACACUGAUGUAAUAGGACUGAUUAGGACUGAUUACCAAAAAAACUGAAUAGGAAUACUUGGCUGAGAUGAGAAAACCAUUGCGUUAUGUGCUGUACUAUGUCUGUUUUGUAACAAUGUACAAUAAGUUGCAGAGAUAACAAGCCUGAUACCAAGAAUUUUACAAAUAAAAAGACUGUACACUGAACGUAUCACCUAAUCAUGUUACCCAUAUAUAGUAGUAUAUAGGCAAAAGUGGGAGUGGCUAAGGUUUUAACCUGUUCAACUGCUUGAUAGACAUUAUAACCCUAUAAACACGUGAGAUUUGACACCAAUACCAGUAUAAACGAACUGCCACGAGUUAUUAUUUAUCAUGUGGUAUGUAUUUUCAUGUUAUUUGUUCCAGAAAAUUUACUAGUUCCUAUCACAGUUAAUAUUAUUAUUUAUGUUUCUCUAUUACAGUGAAAGGUCAUACAAUAUAAAUAUUCCUUUGUAUCCUUGGUAUAAAAAUUGGUCUCAUAAAAAACUAUAUAUAUGCAGCAUUUGAAACUCAUAUGUUAGGUUCCAGAUGAUGCUGAAAGUUCUGUCUGUUCUAAUCUGCAAACAUGAUCUCAGACUUGCCCUUGAUAAACUAGUGUCACUGUGCUUGACAGGGAAAGGCCAUAGAGUGAACAUUGUCAGGAUGAAAAUUCAAGCUGACAGGGCAAACACAUUUCAAUGUGCCAUUUGGAAGUCAAACAUAGAGGAGGAAAAUUUGAAUAGCAAAUCACUGAAGUGCAAAUUACUGCUGUUUUUGAAAGCAGCUUCAGCUCAGAAUAAUCACUAAAAUCAUAUAAUUUCUUUCCUCAGAUGAGCUAGAGAUAAAUAUGCUGAGAUUCCCCAGUCAUCUUUUGUGGAUCUACAACUAGAUACCUACAACCCAUGAAUUUGUGGAUUGUAUUGUGUUCUUUACAUGUCUGUGUGCAUGUUGAUUCCAGGCAAGAGUUUCCAGGCUGACUUAGCCGGCUCUGAUCCUGAGCCCGUUUCGAUGACCUUAUCACUGAUCUGCUAUAUAAAGAGGAAGCAGAAGAAGAAGGUGGAGGGUGUUAGUAGUGGUUUGUUUAUUGCAAUGUUGUUGAGAGAGUGAUUAUUGUGUUUCUUGAUAGUUCCUGUUCUGGUUUUGACUUCUGCCUGUUUCUGAUUCUGAGCUGGGUUUUCCCUUGGAUUUGUUUAUUUAUCACUGUAAAUAUUGCUCACUGUUUCACUGGCAGUAGGGGUGGGGGUGCCAUUUUGUCUUUGAGAGUGGGUUCCUUUUUCCCCCUCUGUGUUUUUUGGUGGGGAGUCAGGGCAGUCCCUCUAUUUUUCUUUUCUUUCUUUUCAGGUGAGAAUAGUUACUUAACUAUUAGAUUCUUAUUGUGCUCUAUUACCAUAAUAUUAUAAUGGUAUUAUAAUAUUUUGCACUAUUACAUCAGACUUGCGCAUUUUUUCAUGAACAGCAGAUAUGUUGAUCCCUCUCCACUUCUUUUCUCUUUCUACCCAUCCUGAGGCAUCCAGACAUUGUACCAGCUCCGAUCGUCUUCCGUGAGAUGAAGAUUUUGGACCUCCAAUGAGACGAGGCGACUCUGUGAGAAUACUGAGACAUCUACAGAUCUACCAGCUCCAGUUGGACUCUGUGAUACUAAGAGGAGAUCUGAACUCCAUGUGAUCCCUACACCAAUACAACAUUUGUUUAACUGUAUAUUUAUAAUCACACCCUCCAGUGUCACCCAUACAAGGAUGGGCUCUCCUUUGAGUUCCUCUCAAGGUUUCUUCCUUUACCAAUUCAAGGGAGUUUUUCCUUGCCACUGCUGCCUGAGUCACCUCAGACUUGCUCAUUGGGGAUAAAUACAUACACAAAUUGGGGCGGUUUCCCAGACAGGGAUUAACACUAAUCUUAGACUUAAAUGCACACUCAGACAUGGUUUAAAAUAGUCUCAGACUUUCCUUAGUCUUAAACUAUAAAGUCAGUUUUCCUAAAGGACGAUCAGAGGUAGUCUGGGUUUAAGUGAUGGCAUAAUUUAAACCUGGCCAGAGGCAGGUUUAACUUCAGAUUAACUGAUUUUGACCUUCAGGUUGACAUCAGAAAAUGAAGAAAAUGGAUUUCUUGGACCAUUUUAAUGAUGAUGAAAGGGUGCCACCAAGACCAGAUCGGUGGGCAAUUAUAGACAGGAUCAACCCACUGAAUGAGUUUGAUGAAAUACAUUUUCCUGACCGUUUUCAUAUGUACAAACAAAAUGUAGCUGACAUAAUUAUUUUGCUUGAACCAAGGCUUUCAUGUCACUCUUUAAGGGGAAUGCCUAUCCCUCCUUACUUACAAAUUCUGAUUACCUUGAGGUUUUUGGCAUGUGGAACAUUCCAUUGUGAAACAGGAGAUUUGUGUGGUGUGAGUGAACCAAAAGUGUGCAAAAUAGUCCACAAAGUCUGCAAUGCUAUAUGUAAACU